rnacentral:rRNA from 1 species
GACAGAGGGUGCAAACGUUGUUCGGAAUUACUGGGCGUAAAGCGCGUGUAGGCGGCCCUGCAAGUCGGAUGUGAAAUCCCACGGCUCAACCGUGGAAGUGCAUUCGAAACUGCAGGGCUAGAGUCCUGGAGAGGAAGGUGGAAUGCUUGGUGUAGAGGUGAAAUUCGUAGAUAUCAAGCGGAACACCGGUGGCGAAGGCGGCAUCCUGGACCGGCAUUGACGCUGAGGCGCGAAAGCCAGGGGAGCAAACGGG